rnacentral:lncRNA from 1 species
CAUACUACAUGUUUCCAAGUUAUAGAAAAAGGCACACACAAAUAAUUGAAAAGGCCAAACACCUAAAUGAAAAGCAGGCUCGAACACAAAACUGGCAGAAGCUCCUCAGCCAGCCCAACUACACGCGUUAACCGCACAGGGCCACAGGCGCAGCCAGCUGAACCUCCCGAUCAAAACGUAAUAGCUCAAACAAAUUUAAGAGCGCACAAGUCUCCGCACAUGCAUG